UAGGGAAUCUUCCGCAAUGGACGCAAGUCUGACGGAGCAACGCCGCGUGAGUGAAGAAGGAUUUCGGUUCGUAAAACUCUGUUGUUAGAGAAGAACAGCGCAUAGAGUAACUGUUAUGCGUGUGACGGUAUCUAACCAGAAAGCCACGGCUAACUACGUGCCAGCAGCCGCGGUAAUACGUAGGUGGCAAGCGUUGUCCGGAUUUAUUGGGCGUAAAGCGAGCGCAGGCGGUCAAUUAAGUCUGAUGUGAAAGCCCCCGGCUCAACCGGGGAGGGUCAUUGGAAACUGGUUGACGUGAGUGCAGAAGAGGAGAGUGGAAUUCCAUGUGUAACGGUGAAAUGCGUAGAUAUAUGGAGGAACACCAGUGGCGAAGGCGACUCGCUGGUCUGUAACUGACGCUGAGGCUCGAAAGCGUGGGUAGCAAACAGG
rnacentral:rRNA from 1 species